AUCUCGAGGAGCCUGCUCCUUGAGAUUAGCGCCCGACGGGUGAGUAACACGUGGGCAACCUGCCUGUAAGACUGGGAUAACACCGGGAAACCGGUGCUAAUACCGGAUAAUUCUUUCCCUCACAUGAGGGAAAGCUGAAAGUCGGUUUCGGCUGAUACUUACAGAUGGGCCCGCGGCGCAUUAGCUAGUUGGUGAGGUAACGGCUCACCAAGGCGACGAUGCGUAGCCGACCUGAGAGGGUGAUCGGCCACACUGGGACUGAGACACGGCCCAGACUCCUACGGGAGGCAGCAGUGGGCAGCAGUGGGACUCCUACGGGAGGCAGCAGUGGGGCAGUUGGCUCAGAACGAACGCUGGCGGCUGGCUCAGAACGAACGCUGGCAGAUGGCUCAGAACGAACGCUGGCGGCCCCACUCCUACGGGAGGCAGCAGUGGGACUCCUACGGGAGGCAGCAGUGGGACUCCUACGGGAGGCGGCAGUGGGACUCCUACGGGAGGCAGCAGUGGG
rnacentral:sRNA from 1 species